rnacentral:rRNA from 1 species
AUUGAACGCUGGCGGCAGGCCUAACACAUGCAAGUCGAGCGGAAACGAGAAUAGCUUGCUAUUCGGCGUCGAGCGGCGGACGGGUGAGUAAUGCCUGGGAAAUUGCCCUGAUGUGGGGGAUAACCAUUGGAAACGAUGGCUAAUACCGCAUAAUAGCUUCGGCUUAAAGAGGGGGACCUUCGGGCCUCUCGCUUCAGGAUAUGCCCAGGUGGGAUUAGCUAGUUGGUGAGGUAAAGGCUCACCAAGGCGACGAUCCCUAGCUGGUCUGAGAGGAUGAUCAGCCACACUGGAACUGAGACACGGUCCAGACUCCUACGGGAGGCAGCAGUGGGGAAUAUUGCACAAUGGGCGCAAGCCUGAUGCAGCCAUGCCGCGUGUAUGAAGAAGGCCUUCGGGUUGUAAAGUACUUUCAGCAGUGAGGAAGGGUGUGUAGUUAAUAGCUGCAUACUUUGACGUUAGCUGCAGAAGAAGCACCGGCUAACUCCGUGCCAGCAGCCGCGGUAAUACGGAGGGUGCGAGCGUUAAUCGGAAUUACUGGGCGUAAAGCGCAUGCAGGUGGUUUGUUAAGUCAGAUGUGAAAGCCCGGGGCUCAACCUCGGAACCGCAUUUGAAACUGGCAGGCUAGAGUACUGUAGAGGGAAUCCCGCGG